UGAGGAAUAUUGGUCAAUGGGCGCUAGCCUGAACCAGCCAAGUAGCGUGAAGGAUGAAGGCUCUAUGGGUCGUAAACUUCUUUUAUAUAAGAAUAAAGUGCAGUAUGUAUACUGUUUUGUAUGUAUUAUAUGAAUAAGGAUCGGCUAACUCCGUGCCAGCAGCCGCGGUAAUACGGAGGAUCCGAGCGUUAUCCGGAUUUAUUGGGUUUAAAGGGAGCGUAGGUGGACUGGUAAGUCAGUUGUGAAAGUUUGCGGCUCAACCGUAAAAUUGCAGUUGAUACUGUCAGUCUUGAGUACAGUAGAGGUGGGCGGAAUUCGUGGUGUAGCGGUGAAAUGCUUAGAUAUCACGAAGAACUCCGAUUGCGAAGGCAGCUCAAUGGACUGCAACUGACACUGAUGCUCGAAAGUGUGGGUAUCAAACAGG
rnacentral:rRNA from 1 species